CAGUAGCCGCGGGAAUACGUAGGGUGCGAGCGUUAAUCGGAAUUACUGGGCGUAAAGCGUCCGCAGGCGGUUAUAUAAGACAGAUGUGAAAUCCCCGGGCUCAACCUGGGACCUGCAUUUGUGACUGUAUAGCUAGAGUAAGGUAGAGGGGGAUGGAAUUCCGCGUGUAGCAGUGAAAUGCGUAGAUAUGCGGAGGAGCACCGAUGGCGAAGGCAAUCCCCUGGACCUGUACUGACGCUCAUGCACGAAAGCGUGGGGAGCAAACAGGAUUAGAUACCCCCGUAGUCCCUGUCUCUUAUAC
rnacentral:rRNA from 1 species